GAUCAUCUGAUAGGUUACUAAGUAACCAUUGUUCUUGGCUACGUUUGCACUAAUGAGAGUGACAAAAUUGGAACCAGGUGGUGGUCUGUUUCAUGCUCUCUCCAGCUGAAAUAUGCCACAUUGGAAAUGUACCAUUCCUAUCAUUUUUAGUUUGUAUGUGCAACUGUGCUUUUUAAAAUGAAAUGGUUAGUUCUUAUGAUAUCAGUGUAGUUAUUCGUAAUUUGGGGUUUUGUUCUACUGUACAAGUAAUUUCUUGUUAUCAGAAUGUCAGCUUUUAUGUUUUGUUAUCUCAACAGGUAGAAAGUUUGUCAGUAUAAUAAUGCGUUACUGGUACCUGACUGAUGUUGACCUUCCUGAUGAGACACCUGAGGGAACAAAAGUCUUUCAAGUCGUCUUUGGUGAUGAAGGCAGCAAAGACAGCUUACGCCUUCUCACAGCCAAUUAUGAAUUUCGGCGUGAAUUCACACAAGGUGUGGAACCAGAUUGGAUCAUUACAAGGAUACAACAUUUCAAAUUAUUGGAGUGAUUCUGCUGAAAAUCUCACUGUAAGGAUAUUACUGCAUAAUUCACAGCCAACAAAGAUCUGCAAGACUGAGCCCUUUUGAGCUGUAAUUGUUUUUAAUCCUGUAAAAUUCAAGCAUCAAAUUAGAUGCUGAUAUUACAUGAAAGCACUUUCUAUGCUGUGUAACUAUUGUAACUGAUACCUAAAUUGUAAUUAUUUGUCACCAUAGAAUUGCAAAGCCUUUAUGAUUUUUUUUUUUUGAAAAAAUCAUGCUAAUGGUGGACCUCCUGAUAUCUCUUCAAAUGAGUUUGAUUUAGUAUUCUCAGCAGAGAGGUGUAAGUGGACCUAGACAAUGGCUGUUUUCUGGUGCUUGCAACAUAAUUGUCACUACAAAAUUACAGCAAAUAUACAAACACUCCUCAAAGGUGUGCCGUGAUGGGGAUGGAGGAGGAGAAAGUGGAUAGAUACUUUGUUGCUUCCUGUAGAAUGUCGAACAGCUAGAAGUUAAUAAGCUUAUUCUAGUAAUCCGAAUACCUUUAAGUUCUUGAACAAGAUUGUAAGGUAAUUACAAAUCUAGGAAGUUGGUUAACCCAUCCUAUUACAUAAUCCAAUUGGUUUUUAAAUGGAAACAGAAAUCCUAUGAAUCACUCUACCGGAAAUCUGCAUGAGACAGACUUUCUAAUAUUGAUUCUAAAAUUUCCUUUGAUACUAUUGAUGCACAUCCCUGCUCCCUCACCCCAAAUCGUAGUCAAACAAUUUAUUUUUCAGGAGCCACUUAACUCUUGGCCCUGUAGAUUUUCUCUUCAUUGCAUCCAGGUCUUGAAUAUAUCCAUUAUGUCUUACUGACCACAACUGGACACAAUGAUCAAGCUAUGACCAAAGCAUUAUAUAGUUUGAGCAAUGACUUCCCCGUUAUUUCACAGUUUCCUCUCUUUUUCUCUUUGAUAUGCAUCUAUUUGUCAUGUUUAACAUUUGGCCUAAUAAGAUUUCUGCUGCUUUAAACUUAAUCCAUGACUACAUCAGAAUCUUUCAAGGAGUAGAAAUGUUUCCUCCUUUUCUAUGCAAUAUCUUACAUGUGUCUGUAUUAAAUUUCAUCUGCCAAUUUCCUUUGCAUUUGCAACUUGUUCAACUCAUUUUCUAACUAUGACCUUUCUGGUUGAAGAACAGCCAAAUUUUCCAUAAAAUCACUUCCAUUAUGUAGUUGCCAAUGAGUAAUGAACAAACAUUCUCAAUAUUAAUAGGGUACACCACUUCUUUCUCUCCUGAGGUUGCUGACUUCUUCAUGCUUUUGGUUCCACAGGUAGUAACUGUUUUCCUCAGAGGUGUUCAUGUGUAAGUCGUUUGCUGCAAUUUUCCACUGAUGCCGUGACCACCGGAUGAUUAUCCGGUGGCUGUUAUGCAUUAUUUUUCUUUUCCUGCUCGUUAGAACAACUGGUUUCUGUGUACUAUGUUGCAAUAAUCCAGCUGAAUUGGCAACCCUCUGUACAUUCUGGUGCCUUCUGGUCUGCAAUGCUGUUUUUCAGAACAGGCAGAGCACUUACCAGCUGAGCAAUUGGAAAACUUAAUAUUUCAAAUUGGGAAAAUUUUCUGCCAGUCUAAACUGCCAGACUCAGCUGAUUAUAACUGAAGUGCAGCACAAGGAACUAUUUUUUUGACUGCUACCAUCUUCCCACUUGCUACAUGCAGCUAGUUCUUAAAUAAUUCCAGUGUCUUGUUCUUGGUCAUGCUUCCUGUAACUAUUCUUGUAACUUCAGGCUAUUGAACAGCUUCUGUAAAGAAGUGUUUCCUAAAUGUGGUCUCCAGAGUAAGCCCUAUAUUGGGCAGUGCUUAUGAAAUCAGUUAUCAUCAUUGACUAGUCUUAGGAAAAUACUGCCAAUGCCUUACACGUUAAAUGGUCAAUAUUUUGUUUGAUUCAAAUAUCCAGUUCCCGUCUAAUGUGGAAUGAAAGAAGCUGGAUGAUAUUUCAACGAAGAGUGAAGAGAAGAUCGAUGAACAAAUUAAUUUGUUCCUUUUCACAUUCUUUCUACUUUUAUACAGAAAAAAAAAUAACCUAUGAGAAUCCAUCUAUCAUCUGAGAGUUAAGGUUUCAGUUAAAGAUGUGCUAGGCUGGGUCCUCCAAACUAGGAGACUUUUUGGGUCAAAUUCAUUCACCACCCUGUUAACUGAACAAAGAUAAUACACAUGCAGGUUGAAAAUAGUUUGACAAUGUUUUUCGUCUAAUCUCAAGAAUUGUAUAUGCAGUGAUCCUUUUAUAAUUGUCUUAUUUAUAUUGUAGCAGAUGUAGAUUGGCUGCUUUCCAUUUAUUAAUGUGUUUUGAUUACUCCCAAUGGGAGUAUUAUUGUGAGGGACUACUGUACUUGAAAUGCAGUGACAUAUUUACAGAAAGUCUUUGCUGUAUCCUCCGUUGGAGAGUAUUACUUCCAGUGUUUACUAUGGUUCGGUUUCACGGGGUUCAUUUUGUACAGGUUUGAAGGAAAUGGCUCAUUGCUUGGUUACUUUGCAAAACCUAUGAACAUUUAUUACAGGUUGAAAAUAAGUGAUUUGAAGAAGUGUUUUCAUCCUGUAUUAUCCUUCAAUGUAACUGUUGCAUCCAGUGACAUGCUAUUUUAAAUAACAUCCCAAAAAUGAACUAAUUUAAUAAAAUAAAUGAGCAACAGUCUUUUUUUUAAAAAUAGCACCUGGAACACACAUCGGUGUUUCAGCAGAAACUUAUCAAAUUAAACCAAAAUGUUGUUCUGAAGGGAGAUGAUACACCCUAGCCCCCAUACAUCUGUUCACUGCCUGCAUUUGCACCCUGUCCCCCUUGAUUCCACACAUUCUAUUUGAAUUGUCUGGAAGCUAAUUCUACAGUAAGGGGACAAGCCUGUUACUUAACCCUACACUGUUCUGGAGUACUGCCUGACAGCUGGUAGCUACAGCAUAGUGGAGUGAGGAUCAGAUAAAACUCCUCUUUCGGAAAGGAUUCAGAAAUUAUGGAACUGAAUUCAAAAAGAGAAAGUCGGAGCUCAACUGCCAAUAACUCUGAAUUUACUGAAAGGUAACCUAUUAGUAUUUGGUUUUAAGUUGUUAAUUAUACUGACUUGUUUGCAAUUGAAAAAAAAUUUUGGGUGAUUUUGUAAAAAUAAAUAAAUAUCCAUCUAAUGGUGCUAGCUUCA